CUCUGAGCGCGACCCUACCCGGCUCGGGCCCGCAGCAGCCCCGACUGUCCGAGAGCCUCUCCGCAAGCAAGGCUCUGCGCCGCCCUCUGAGCCCACCUCCUGGCCACAACGCUGCCUGCGCUUCUCCAGCCCAGGCCGGAAGCCCUAUGCUGCCUCCCGAAGCCGGACUUUCUGGAAGCCCAUCUUCGUAUGCUCACCAGCCCACCCUCCUACGCUGGUCAGAGUGAGAUUGCUAACCUCAAGACCCCAUUCAAUGCCAGCUUUCAACUACUGCUGAAGACCAAUGUAGGUCCUGGAAUAGAAGAACUGCAGAGUCUUGGCUUUUGCUUUUGUGUGUCCACCUCGAGCAGAUCCGGAGCUGGCCGACCCCAGACUGAUUCUCAACAGGUGGCUGGAUGCAGACAAAAGCUACCAUGUCCGCUUGGAGUGACACCCAGACACGCACAGAGAUGUACAGGAAGCCAAGGAGAGUGGGAUCCACCAGAGUACAGUACAAGUACAGAGUACAGUGCAAGAUGCCCAGU
ensembl:processed_transcript Six3os1 SIX homeobox 3, opposite strand 1